ACAUUCUUAGUUCAAAAGGAAAGAACAUCAGCCUUCUAAGCUGAGGUGUACAGGUUCGAGUCCUGUAGAGUGUA
rnacentral:tRNA from 1 species